AGAAAAAAUGACUUUGUGUUGUAAUUUAUGUUGUAUAUGAAAAUACGCAAGUUAAGCUAGAAUUUGUUAUUUGCAGACCAUGCAGCAAUUUUUAUUGGUCUGUUUCAGUUGUGUUUUUUUUCCUACUAGUCUAUAUAGAUUCCAUUAUUUCCAUUUAAUGUGUAUUAGCCUGCAUUUGCUUAAGUCAAAUGUGCAUUUCACAAUUCCAAAUUUGGACAUUUUACCUAAGUAUUUUUUAAGAACUAUAUCAGAAAUUGUAAUGGCAUCUAUUCCAUAUGUAUCUGAUCAUGACGUACGUAUUGUAAUUUUCUAAAUUGUGACUUUUAUGCUUAAAACUUUGAAAUGUUUUGCUCUGUAAGAAUACAUGUAUUUAUUUUUUUACAUCAUUGAGACUUUAACAUGCAAUAAAAUCGAAUCUU
rnacentral:sRNA from 1 species